rnacentral:rRNA from 1 species
CACGUAGGCGGACUGGUCAGUUGGGGGUGAAAUCCCAGGGCUCAACCCUGGAACUGCCUCCAAUACUGCCAGUCUUGAGUCCGAGAGAGGUGAGUGGAAUUCCUAGUGUAGAGGUGAAAUUCGUAGAUAUUAGAAGAACACCAGUGGCGAAGGCGGCUCACUGGCUCGGUACUGACGCUGAGGUGCGAAAGCGUGGGGAGCAAACA